GGUUAGCUCAGUGGGUUAGAGCAUGGUGUUGAUAAUGCCAGGGCUGCAGGUUCGAUUCCCCAUAAGGUACA